rnacentral:rRNA from 1 species
AGAUUGAACGCUGGCGGCAUGCCUUACACAUGCAAGUCGAACGGCAGCACGGACUUCGGUCUGGUGGCGAGUGGCGAACGGGUGAGUAAUAUAUCGGAACGUACCCUGGAGUGGGGGAUAACGCAGCGAAAGUUGCGCUAAUACCGCAUACGAUCUACGGAUGAAAGUGGGGGCUCGCAAGACCUCAUGCUCGUGGAGCGGCCGAUAUCUGAUUAGCUAGUUGGUAGGUAAAAGCCUACCAAGGCAUCGAUCAGUAGCUGGUCUGAGAGGACGACCA